UGCAGGUGGCGGUUCCCCCAGGGAUACCUGAGCCAGACUGGAAUCCGGCUCCCUGGCGGGGGGAAACACUGAUCUCUGAACGUUAACAAGCAGACAGGACUGACAACAGCACCGCCUGGGUCCUCAAGAAAGCAGGAGGAGGAGCCAGCACCAUGUGAUGACCAAUCAGCUCUCAGUGCACCCUGAAAAUCUCCAGUUAAGCAGACGAUCUUAUCUUGCCUGUCUGACAAAGACACGGUCACACACUGCCCACUGCUUGCUACCCAGCGUGGUGCCAGACAAGCCAGGCACCAACCGAACACCCAGUGUUCUAACACGAACAGCAGGGGAAAGAGGACUUUGGGUUCCCUUGUUAGAGAUAAUAUUUUGUACCAUAAGAACCCUGUUUGGCCAGAGAUCUCCAGCAGCUUUACAGCCAUUUGAUAUGCAGCUGUUUGCUGUUAUUUAAUAGCUAGCGGGCAAGUAGAAUGAUUCGUCUUGCAGCAGCACUUCGAGUCCCUAACCAGGAUCAGCACCCCACUGUGCAAGGCACUGUACGAACAUCAUAAAAAUACGUUCCCUGCCCCAAACAGGAAGGAGAAAGUUUAAGUGAUUAGCCCAAGAUCUGGUCUGCACGAGGGUUAUUUUCCAAGAGUGCUGGGCGUGCGACAGCUGCUGAUUUGGCCAAUGCACGGGGAAUGGAGUGAGCUGAAAAGCAUCAACUGCAACAGCCAGAGCUGAAAGCCCGAUUUGCUAACUGCAGGCGUAACCGCUUUCUAUGCUGUGUAGACUGAGCAGAAAGAUGGACCCACCUGGCACACGUUCACCAGCUGGCUCCAGUGGAAGCCCAGGGUCUGACUUUAAGGCGAGCUCAGCAAACAGCAGCUCC